rnacentral:rRNA from 1 species
AGAGUUUGAUCCUGGCUCAGAACAAACGCUGGCGGCGUGCCUAACACAUGCAAGUCGUACGAGAAAGUCGGCUUCGGCCGAUGAGUACAGUGGCGCACGGGUGAGUAACGCGUGGGUAAUCUACCCCUCGGUCAGGAAUAACCCGCCGAAAGGCGGGCUAAUACCCGAUAAUACUGACGCUCUGCGGAGUGUCUUUCAAAGAAGGCCUCUGUUUACAAGCUUUCGCCGGAGGAUGAGCCCGCGUACCAUUAGCUAGUUGGCAGGGUAAUGGCCUACCAAGGCAACGAUGGUUAGCUGGUCUGAGAGGAUGGCCAGCCACACUGGAACUGAGACACGGUCCAGACUCCUACGGGAGGCAGCAGUGAGGAAUCUUGCGCAAUGGGGGAAACCCUGACGCAGCAACGCCGCGUGAGUGAGGAAGGCCUUCGGGUCGUAAAGCUCUGUCAGAUGGGAAGAAAUGGGUGGGGGCUAAUAUCGUCCAUCCUUGACGGUACCAUCAGAGGAAGCACCGGCUAACUCCGUGCCAGCAGCCGCGGUAA